CCUACCCUUGACAUGUCAAGAAUUUCGCAGAGAUGUGGAAGUGCUCGAAAGAGAACUUGAACACAGGUGCUGCAUGGCCGUCGUCAGCUCGUGUCGUGAGAUGUUGGGUUAAGUCCCGCAACGAGCGCAACCCUUGUCAUUAGUUGCUACGAAAGGGCACUCUAAUGAGACUGCCGGUGACAAACCGGAGGAAGGUGGGGAUGACGUCAGGUCCUCAUGGCCCUUAUGGGUAGGGCUACACACGUCAUACAAUGGCCGGUACAGAGGGUCGCCAACCCGCGAGGGGGAGCCAAUCCCAGAAAACCGGUCGUAGUCCGGAUCGCAGUCUGCAACUCGACUGCGUGAAGUCGGAAUCGCUAGUAAUCGCGGAUCAGCUUGCCGCGGUGAAUACGUUCCCGGGUCUUGUACACACCG
rnacentral:rRNA from 1 species